rnacentral:rRNA from 1 species
GACGAACGCUGGCGGCGUGCUUAACACAUGCAAGUCGAACGGAGCUAUUUAUUUCGGUAGAUAGCUUAGUGGCAAACGGGUGAGUAACGCGUAGGCAACCUGCCCUCAGGAUGGGGACAACGGCUCGAAAGAGCCGCUAAUACCGAAUGACGUAACUCUUCCACAUGGAAGAGAUACUAAAGAUGGGUCAAACCAUCGCCUAAGGAUGGGCCUGCGUCUGAUUAGCCAGUUGGUGAGGUAACGGCUCACCAAAGCGACGAUCAGUAGCCGGUCUGAGAGGAUGAACGGCCACAAUGGGACUGAGACACGGCCCAUACUCCUACGGGAGGCAGCAGUGGGGAAUCUUCCGCAAUGGGCGAAAGCCUGACGGAGCAACGCCGCGUGAGUGAAGAAGGUCUUCGGAUCGUAAAGCUCUGUUGCACGGGACGAAAACCGAACUUGAGAAU